UUACUUGAUGUACCAAUCGGUACGUCAAGUUAUGAGAUAUGGGUAAAAUUGAGCAAUAUCUGUGAGAAGGAUACAAAACAACAGAACAUGAUAUAGUAACCCACACUGCGUGGCUGACAGAUCGUGUAUUUGCAACUGUGUGGGAUUAAUGCAAAAAGGAGAAAGGAAAAUAGAUAAUCUCACAACUCAGGUGAUUGUCAAGAAAGCAAGAUCAUCAAAAUGAUCUAUAGCCUGCAAAGCUCAAGAGAAGAGGUGCUUCAAAUGUUGGAAAAACAAAAAAGAAUUAGAAAGAAUAGACGAGACUCAAGAAGUGUGCUCUCCGUGUGGGACAUGUAAGAAAUCUAAUCAUUUGGAAAAAGACUGUUAUUUU